rnacentral:rRNA from 1 species
GACGAACGCUGGCGGCAGGCUUAACACAUGCAAGUCGAACGGGUGCAGCAAUGCAUCAGUGGCAGACGGGUGAGUAACACGUGGGAACCUUCCUAGGGGUACGGAACAACUCAGGGGAAACUUGAGCUAAUACCGUAUACGUCCGUGAGGAGAAAGAUUUAUCGCCCUUAGACGGGCCCGCGUCGGAUUAGCUAGUUGGUGGGGUAACGGCCUACCAAGGCGACGAUCCGUAGCUGAUCUUAGAGGAUGAUCAGCCACACUGGGACUGAGACACGGCCCAGACUCCUACGGGAGGCAGCAGUGGGGAAUCUUGGACAAUGGGCGCAAGCCUGAUCCAGCCAUGCCGCGUGAGUGAAGAAGGUCUUCGGAUUGUAAAGCUCUUUUGCCAGGGACGAUAAUGACGGUACCUGGAGAAUAAGCCCCGGCAAACUUCGUGCCAGCCGCCGCUGUAA